rnacentral:rRNA from 1 species
GAUGAACGCUGGCGGCGUGCUUAACACAUGCAAGUCGAGCGAGAAGUUUUGAAAAGAUUCUUCGGAUGAAAUUUAAAAUGGAAAGCGGCGGACGGGUGAGUAACGCGUAGGCAACCUGCCCCAUACAAAGGGAUAGCAUUUGGAAACGAAUAUUAAUACCUUAUGAAACUUAACUAGUGCAUGCUAGGUAGGUCAAAGAUUUAUCGGUAUGGGAUGGGCCUGCGUCUGAUUAGCUAGUUGGUGAGGUAACGGCUCACCAAGGCGACGAUCAGUAGCCGACCUGAGAGGGUGAACGGCCACAUUGGAACUGAGACACGGUCCAAACUCCUACGGGAGGCAGCAGUGGGGAAUAUUGCACAAUGGGGGAAACCCUGAUGCAGCAACGCCGCGUGAACGAUGAAGGCCUUUGGGUCGGAAAGUUCUGUUCUAGGUGAUGAAAACUGACAGUAACCUAGGAGAAAGCCCCGGCUAACUCCGUG